rnacentral:lncRNA from 1 species
GAAAAUAAGAGAUAACAAGCCAAAAUCAAAAUUUUGAUCAUGACCUUGACCUUUGACCUUGACCUCAUUUUCAAUUUUUUGGACCAAGGACCUCAAAACAAAAGACCCUAGGCCUCUAACACUUAUGGUUUUCCAGUUAAAAAUGCAUAUCACUUAUAUCAAAUAUAAAAGGGGAAAUAACUCUCAUAUGGAGUCUACGGAAAAGCUUCGGUCAAAAUAAAUCAAAUCAUCCUGAGGAUAUAACGAGCAAUUUGGUAAAAUAAAUUUGUCGGUUUCUUAUACGGUUGCGAAUAUUAAGCGAUCACAAGAAAAACAGUGUUCGGGGAGAUAACUCUUACAUUGAAAAGAUUUUGGUUACGCGGUGUCAGUUUCAAAAGUGUAUUAAUUGCUCGAUAUCAUAUACCAUAUAUCAAAGCGACAUCUUGCGAAACAAAAAAAUUGCGAAGGAACAAAAAGUUGGCGGAAGAAAAAAAAUAAUAAUUAAAAACCAAUUGUUCAGAGAACAAUUGAAGGUCUUUCCACCAGUAAAUAUCUAUUUUGAUAUUAAAAUAUUAAUAAUCAGUCUAAAAUGUCAGUUCCUAUGGCUUUAUGAUGUAUAGAUAUGAAUUUUAACCAAAGGUCAUAAUCUAAAACGCCAAAUUUACCUAUGACCUUGACCUCAAUUUCAAGGUCACAAACUGAGGAUCUCAAAUCAAAAGACCCUAGGUCUCUAAUAUGUAUGGUUAAUAAGUAAUAUCACUUGACGCAUAAUUUUAGAUGUGGUAGGGGCUAAAACUCCCAUUUAUUGUCUACGCACCCUUUCAACCAAAAUUAUUAUGUUACGACAUGUCGCAACUAACAAUUUAGUAAAAUAAUUUGUCGAUAUCUGAUAAGGUUAAUGAAAAUGAGUGAAAAUAAGCCAAAAUCAAAAUUUGGAAUAUGACCUUGACCUUUGACCUUGACCUAAUUUUCAUUUUUUUGGACCAAGGAUCUCAAAUCAAACGACCCUAGGUCUCUAUCACUUAUGGUUUUCCAGUUUAAAAUACAUUUCAAAAUUUCAAAUACAAAAGGGGAAAUAACUCUCAUAUGGAAUCUCUAUACGGCUUCGGUCAAAAUGAAACAGCACAUCCUGAAGAUGUAAUGAGCAAUUUGCAAAAAUAAAUUUGUAGGUUUCUUAUACGGUUGUGAAGAUUACGCGAUAACAAGAAAAACAGUGUUCGGGGAGAUAACUCUUAUAUGGGAAAGAUUUUGGUUACACGGUGUCAGUUACAAAAGCGUAAUAACUGUUCGAUAUCAUAUACCAUAUGUCUAAGCGACAUCUUGCGAAACAAAAAAAUUGCGGAGGAACAAAAAGUUGGCGGAAGAAAAAAAAUAAUAAUUAAAAACCAAUUGUUCAGAGAACCAUUGAUGGUCUUUCCACCAGUAAUGAUUUUUUUUAUAUGAAAAUAUUAAAAUUUGGUUUUAAAUGUCAAUUUCAGCGUCAAAUGACAACUUUAAUAUUGUACGCUGAUUCCAAAAAUAUAAGAUUUAUAUACAAAAAGAUAUAAAUAAGGGAGAUAAUUUUCUACUUCCGGUUCAAAAUAUGUUACUUCCGGUACUGUCUUAU